CCCUUAGAGCCCGGCGAGCGGGCGCGGCCCUGCCUACACCCCGACUUCAUCCCAGUGAGGAGGACGUCGGACUUCUGGCCUCCAGAGCUGUGAGAAAAUACAUUUGAGAUGUUCAAGCUGCCCAAUGUCUGGUCAUUUGUUACAAAAGAUAUGGAAAAUCAACGCACCAGUAACUGGAGAAAAUUGAUCACGACUGAAAGGCAGUGGGCAAAACGUACUGUUGUAGGUCAGCCCAGACCAGAAACUGAAAAGAGAUCAUGGGAAGGCAUAUCGGGGACGGAGCCCACGCUUCAGGGCCAUUCUGCUGGGCUUUCCUACAGUGACCUCACCAUCACCACCACCACCGACAACGACAUCACAGCCCCGACCUCACCAUCACCACCACCAAUGACAACACUACAGCCCUGACCUCACCAUCACCACCACCAACAACGACAUCACAGCCCUGACCUCACCAUCACCACCACCAAUGACAACACUACAGCCCUGACCUCACCAUCACCACCACCAAUGACAAUGACAUCACAGCCCCGACCUCACCAUCACCACCACCAAUGACGAUGCUACAGCCCCGACCUCACCAUCACCACCACCAAUGACAAUGACAUAACAUCCCCGACCUCACCAUCACCACCAAUGACAACGACAUCACAGCCCCGACCUCACCAUCACCACCAAUGACAAUGACAUCACAGCCCUGACCUCACCAUCACUACCACCAAUGACAACGACAUCACAGCCCCAACCUCACCAUUACCACCACCAACAACAAUGACAUCAUGGCCCACAGGUGGCCAAACCCUUCAAUCACCUGCAAACCAGCGACCCUCACUUUUGCUUCUGAAACUUAUAAAAGCAAAAACAAAAAAACAGAUUCUCAAACCCAAACCGUGGCAAUUCUGGUUCAGCAGGUGUUAGUUGAGACCAGGCACUUUCAUUUAAAAUCACUACAGAAGUGUUUUUAUGCACAUCCAAAAUUGAGAACCCCUGUGACAGCUCCUUAAUAUUCCCAAAGGGUUAUUUAAGACUUACACAUCUUUAAAUGUGUGAGUACACAAUGGUCGAUGAUCCUGCAAUUCUCAUUUAUAAAAAGAUGGCAGUCGUAUCCAACUCCCGAGACGGCGAACCCGCACCAUUUCCAUGCGCGCUCUGUGCACAAGGCUGGCCUCACGUUGGCCAGCGACUCCCUCCCGGCGAGUCAGUUCUCAACUUGCUUCAGCAGAGGUGCAUAUGGUAGGGAGUGGCCCAACCUUUGGGAUGGCCAGAGAUCAUCAGACCUGUGGGUCCAUGUGCCGUUUGCUGUCAUAAGUUCCUGUCAUAACUCCCUGUGCGCCCAUUUUGUUGGAUGUGUUCACACUGUAUUUUAGUUGCCAAUGACUAUAUUUCAGUGUGUCUGCAUAGAGGGCUGUGCUCUGUAUUUCAGCAUGUCCGCAUGGAGAGCUGUGUGUGUUUCUAUAUUUCAGCGUGUCUGCAUAGAGGCCUGUGGGUGUCUUCAUAUUUCAGUGUGUCUGCAUAGAGGGCCGAGCUCCGUAUGUCAGCGUGUCUGCAUAGAGGCCUGUGGGUGUCUUCAUAUUUCAGUGUGUCUGCAUAGAGGGCUGAGCUCCGUAUGUCAGCGUGUCUGCAUAGAGGCUGUGUGUGUCCCCUUAAUCUUUGUUACUCUAGUUUUCAGAUAUUGUCUGGAACUGGAGAAGCCCCACAUUUUAUGAUGGAUAAAUAAAUAAAGGUUAAACGCAGGGCUGCGGAGCUCCGUUGCCUUCCUCGUAAUUCUGCGAGACUCUGCGAUAUACUUUUCAGGGAGCAUCACAUUAGCUGUCACACACUGAGUGUCAACCAAAGCCACGCAAGGUGGCCUAAAAUUAACGAGCUCGUUAUGGAGGAGCCUCCACUAACGAAGUCAACAAAUGCAAACUGGUUUGGUAACCUUCUGUAAAGAAAAGAUCCAUCAUUGGUUAAUAUUUAUUGUAUAGAUUAUGGCAAAAUUUAAAAAAUAAACAGUAUUUACUGAAAUUUUA
rnacentral:lncRNA from 1 species